GGGGGUGUUCCGGUUUCGACGGGGGUGAUGAGGGGCCGGGACGCACGUCCGGGGCCUGGACCCGGUAAGCAAUCAGGACUUUACACAAAAGCCGAAGAUAACUUCGCACUGGCGGCUUAGCUGUCACGUCUGACACGGCGGCGCCCGUAAACCGUUGAAGGCGCAAAUUAUUCGGGCUUGGUGAUUAUUGGGGCUUCUCGGCCCCCAAUGGCACGACAACAAGUCGAGGGGUCUUGAGGAAGGGUGCCUGUGCUCGUCCACUCGGAUGCUACAAAACACAAGGCUAAACGUGUAGUUGGACCGGUUUCGAGCACUUUCGGACGGGGGUUCGACUCCCCCCACCUCCACCA
rnacentral:tmRNA from 1 species